AAAACUAUGUCAGCACCGCUUAUUUGAUAAUUACGAACAUUGCACGUUUUACAGAGAAGACAGGAAAAAAAUGUAAGCAUGAAAAUUAUUGUCUUAAACCUGCUCAUGGGGGAAAUAAAUCCAGUCAUGGCGGAGUGCCAAAUAACUGGAUACAAUGGCCCUGGUAAUGGUUGAGGAGGAGUUCCGGGACAUUAGGAAAGCAUUCCCACUAUAAUUAAAGCAGCCAGUUUAGGUGAGUGCGACCUCUGUGGGAUCGAGCAUUUCUUAUAUAGGGUGAAGCACUAUUUCCUGAUUUUGGUGCGUGUCUAUGUUAUGUUCCUUAUUUCAUUUGAAGGAUUCCUUACUGCUUCUGCCAAGUAGCUUCGUCCCAGCCUUGUGUUAAUGAGAAGGGAGAAGAAGCGAGUGAGCGGAGGUUUUCAUGAGCAGCGGGGCAAAGGACAUUUCCUAAGACGCAGUGUUACAUAGCAUUUUAUGAAGGUGAUGAAAAUAUUCACCAUGAAAACCCGUCGACUCUUACUUACACAUAACGCAAAACAACCUAUUUGCAUUUGUUUAGUCAGAGACAUUAGAAAUUAGCAGUCUUGAAUUACAGACCAACGAGAAAACAGUUGCUAUUUAGUAAAUAGGAAAGGACGAGAGGGGCUGGUCAUAGUUGAAAAGUGAAUGCUGCCUUUCAAGAGAGGGUCUUUGUGAGGGCUGUGGGUGGGGGAGGGGGGAUCUACUUCAGUGCCGCUGAUAUCUGAAUGCCCCUUGCCUGCCUUCCCAUGACUGUUUUCCUUAGUCCUGGCUUCUAAAUUCUAUGUUCAGUAUUCAUUACAAAUCUUUUCAACUCCCAUGGAAGUUUGAGGAAAAUAGUGCGUUAUUUUUGAGCCAGGUGUUGCAGUGGGCUUCCGGAGAUAAGAGGUGAGAAGGCACAGACUGGGGAGGGGUCAGACAUAGGUUUACCGUCGCCUUUUAUUUUGAGUGACUUUUAUUCUAAGUGAGUGUACGCCUGCUUUGUCAUGGAGGAAAUACAGGCUAGCAGGUACAAGUUUCUUUUAUUGAAUUUCUUACGCCCCAGUGUAAACUGAAUCGUAAUUGUACUAUGUAGUUCUGUCUUUAAGGGGUCCUAUCCUGUGCUUCCAAGGUCUUGUUUCUCUGACGCUUUCCUGCUUACGUGUGAGUGUUCUAGUGCGCGUGUUUGUGUUUUAUUCAAUUUCCCUUUCUUUCCUAUUGACCUAUGAGCGUGUUUGACAUUUCUCAUUUCGAACCCCCCUUGCUUGGACAGGACCUCAGUCUGUCCACUGUUUCUGUCCUGUUCUUGAAGGUCACGCUCCCUAAUAUAGCAGUCAUUUCUGUUGCUGCUUGGAUCCCCCUCCCCCACCCCUCUAGUGAGAUCUGUCCCAUUCUGUAGCCAAAUAGUGUCGCUAACUUGGAGCUGACCUAGGUCACUUAGUGAUCAUAACACCUGGUAGAUAACAGACCAGUGUCGUUUCCUUUCAAAAUAAGUUGAGUUCUUUUUUGUUUGGAAAACAUUAUUACUAAGUGUUGGGUGUACAUCCAAUCAGGAGGGAUUGGUUUGGUAUAUUUAUUUAUUAUAUAUUGUGUGCCUAGUCUUGUGUCAACUUGACAUACAAGCUAGAGUUAUCUGAGAGGAAGGACCCUCAAUUGAGAAAAAUGCCUUCAUAAGAUUUGCUGUAAGGCAUUCUCUUAAUUAGUGAUUGAUGGGGAAAGGAAUGGGUGGGUCCGUUCCUAGGCAGGUGAUCCUGGAUUCUUUAAGAAAGCGGGCUGAGCAAGCCAUGAGGAGGAAGCCAGGAAGCAGCAUCCCUCCAUGGCUUCUCCAUCAGCUCCUGCCUCCAGGAUCCUGCCCUGUGUGAGUUCCUGUCCUGACUUCCUUCGGUGAUGAACAGUGCUGUGGAAGUAUAAGCCAAAUAAACCCUUUUCUCCCCAACUUGCUUUUUGGUCGUGGUGUUUUUUCGCAGCAGUAGAAACCCUAGGGCAUAUAGGCACACACUGCCAUGUCUGAAUUAUGCCAUGGUAGAGGUCUAACCCAGGAGGGCUUCUUGCAUGCUGGACAAGGUCUCUACGAAGCUGUAAUGCCUGCCUGAGAUGGGCUAUUGAGGUGGCCAUGUAUUUCCUGCUGUCUACUGAAGAGAGAAUAAUGGUGUGUGCUUAAGCUUGUCCUUUAAAAACAUUUAAACAAUGUAUCUCUGUGUGUGUGUCUCUGUCUGUCUGUCUGUCUGUCUGUCCUAGAGUUUGGAAGCAUAGAAUAUCUGGAGGUGAAGUUACAGGUAGUUGUAAGCUGUCUGACAGGCGUUCUGGGAAUAGAACUGUGGGCCUCUGGAAGAGCACUGUGUUCCUAACCACUGAGCCCCUUCUCCAGACCCUAGGCUACUCCGGCUUAUGUGCAUUCUUUCAUUUGAUCCUAUAAUGAUGUAGGGUGUACAUCCAAUCAGGAGGGAUUGGUUUGGUAUAUUUACUUAUUAUCAGCAUAGAGCACUUGGACCUCCCUUGUACCUGUUCAGAGGAAGAAAAUCAACUAACUAUAUACCAACAACCUAAGUGAGGUCUUACAGCCUUGCUGCAGGGCUAGUUUCCUGCCUUUCUUUCUAUCAAUUUUCCAGUAUACUCAAGAAAAUCGGGAAAUUGUAAUGGGGCAAUUAUAUCUCCUGAGACUUUUUGCCUGUUGAAAUGUGCAGGACCCUUUUCCUGUGAUGAGAGAUAGCUGGUUACUUGAUCUAGGUUUAAAAGUUAUG
rnacentral:lncRNA from 1 species